rnacentral:rRNA from 1 species
CCGGGCGACCGGCGGACGGGUGCGUAACGCGUAUGUAACCUACCUUUGACAGGGGGAUAACAUCGAGAAAUUGGUACUAAUACCCCAUAACAUCACCGGAGGCAUCUUCGGUGGUUGAAAACUCAGGUGGUCAGAGAUGGACAUGCGUUGUAUUAGCUAGUUGGUGAGGUAACGGCUCACCAAGGCGACGAUACAUAGGGGGACUGAGAGGUCAACCCCCCACAUUGGUACUGAGACACGGACCAAACUCCUACGGAAGGCAGCAG